UACGAGGGGGGCAAGCGUUGUUCGGAAUUAUUGGGCGUAAAGGGUGCGUAGGCGGUCCGGCAAGUUUUAUGUGAAAUCUUCAGGCUCAACUUGAAGUCUGCAUAAAAAACUGCCGGGCUUGAGUGUGGGAGAGGUGAGUGGAAUUUCCGGUGUAGCGGUGAAAUGCGUAGAUAUCGGAAGGAACACCCGUGGCGAAAGCGGCUCACUGGACCACUACUGACGCUGAGGCACGAAAGCUAGGGGAGCAAACAGG
rnacentral:rRNA from 1 species